rnacentral:rRNA from 1 species
GUCCACGCUGUAAACGAUGAGCACUAGGUGUCGCGGGUAUUGACCCCUGCGGUGCCGCAGCUAACGCAUUAAGUGCUCCGCCUGGGGACUACGGCCGCAAGGCUAAAACUCAAAGGAAUUGACGGGGGCCCCGCACAAGCGGUGGAGCAUGUGGUUCAAUUCGACGCAACGCGAAGAACCUUACCUGGGCUAGACAACAGUGGACCGCUUCAGAGAUGAGGCUUCCCAUUCGGGGGCCGCUGGUUCAGGUGCUGCAUGGCUGUCGU